ACAGUGACGGUGGCAGAAUGGCGAGUGUCGGUCCACGUGACGUAGUUCCUGACAGACUGGGCGUCCUUACAGUUCGACCGCGACGACUGUUCCAUGAAUUGCACAAUAAAGGAGGCUGAGGGACGUUUACGCAGGGACUCCGUCUUGAUGUCGUUGGGCACGCCCCCGGCUCUGGACAAGGCCAGGAUGGAGUGGUUGACGGCGGCCAUCUCCACAGCCAGAGAUAUGGGGUCCUGGUGCUCGCCGUGUGCUCCGCUGUCGUCCUGAAAGACGAGAGAAAUCAAAACUUAAAAAAAAAAAAAAA